GGGUUGUGAGGUUAAGCGACUAAGCGUACACGGUGGAUGCCCUGGCAGUCAGAGGCGAUGAAGGGCGUGCUAAUCUGCGAUAAGCGCCGGUAAGGUGAUAUGAACCGUUAUAACCGGCGAUACCCGAAUGGGGAAACCCAGUGUGACUCGUCACACUAUCAUUAACUGAAUCCAUAGGUUAAUGAGGCGAACCGGGGGAACUGAAACAUCUAAGUACCCCGAGGAAAAGAAAUCAACCGAGAUUCCCCCAGUAGCGGCGAGCGAACGGGGAGGAGCCCAGAGCCUGAAUCAGCAUGUGUGUUAGUGGAAGCGUCUGGAAAGGCGCGCGAUACAGGGUGACAGCCCCGUACACAAAAGCGCAUGUGCUGUGAGCUCGAUGAGUAGGGCGGGACACGUGGUAUCCUGUCUGAAUAUGGGGGGACCAUCCUCCAAGGCUAAAUACUCCUGACUGACCGAUAGUGAACCAGUACCGUGAGGGAAAGGCGAAAAGAACCCCGGCGAGGGGAGUGAAAAAGAACCUGAAACCGUGUACGUACAAGCAGUGGGAGCACCCUUUGGGGUGUGACUGCGUACCUUUUGUAUAAUGGGUCAGCGACUUAUAUUCUGUAGCAAGGUUAACCGUAUAGGGGAGCCGGAGGGAAACCGAGUCUUAACCGGGCGUUAAGUUGCAGGGUAUAGACCCGAAACCCGGUGAUCUAGCCAUGGGCAGGUUGAAGGUUGGGUAACACUAACUGGAGGACCGAACCGACUAAUGUUGAAAAAUUAGCGGAUGACCUGUGGCUGGGGGUGAAAGGCCAAUCAAACCGGGAGAUAGCUGGUUCUCCCCGAAAGCUAUUUAGGUAGCGCCUCGUGAAUUCAUCUCCGGGGGUAGAGCACUGUUUCGGCUAGGGGGCCAUCCCGGCUUACCAACCCGAUGCAAACUGCGAAUACCGGAGAAUGUUAUCACGGGAGACACACGGCGGGUGCUAACGUCCGUCGUGAAGAGGGAAACAACCCAGACCGCCAGCUAAGGUCCCAAAGUCAUGGUUAAGUGGGAAACGAUGUGGGAAGGCCCAGACAGCCAGGAUGUUGGCUUAGAAGCAGCCAUCAUUUAAAGAAAGCGUAAUAGCUCACUGGUCGAGUCGGCCUGCGCGGAAGAUGUAACGGGGCUAAACCAUGCACCGAAGCUGCGGCAGCGACGCUGAUGCGUUGUUGGGUAGGGGAGCGUUCUGUAAGCCUGCGAAGGUGGCCUGUGAGGGUUGCUGGAGGUAUCAGAAGUGCGAAUGCUGACAUAAGUAACGAUAAAGCGGGUGAAAAGCCCGCUCGCCGGAAGAC
rnacentral:rRNA from 1 species